rnacentral:rRNA from 1 species
GAUGAACGCUGGCGGCGUGCCUAAUACAUGCAAGUCGAGCGAAUGGAUUAAGAGCUUGCUCUUAUGAAGUUAGCGGCGGACGGGUGAGUAACACGUGGGUUACCUGCCCAUAAGACUGGGAUAACUCCGGGAAACCGGGGCUAAUACCGGAUAACAUUUUGAACCGCAUGGUACGAAAUUGAAAGGCGGCCUCGGCUGACACUUAUGGAUGGACCCGCGUCGCAUUAGCUAGUUGGUGAGGUAACGGCUCACCAAGGCAACGAUGCGUAGCCGACCUGAGAGGGUGAUCGGCCACGCUGGGACUGAGACACGGCCCAGACUCCUACGGGAGGCAGCAGUAGGGAAUCUUCCGCAAUGGACGAAAGUCUGACGGAGCAACGCCGCGUGAGUGAUGAAGGCUUUCGGGUCGUAAAACUCUGUUGUUAGGGAAGAACAAGUGCUAGUUGAAUAAGCUGGCACCUUGACGGUACCUAACCAGAAAGCCACGGCUAACUACGUGCCAGCCGCCGCAGUAA